GAUGAAGAACGUAGUGAAAUGCGAUAAGUAAUGUGAAUUGCAGAAUUCAGUGAAUCAUCGAAUCUUUGAACGCACCUUGCGCCUUUUGGUAUUCCGAAAGGCACACCUGUUUGAGCGUCAUGAAUACCUCAAUCUCCAUCUUUUCUUCGGAUUGAUGGGUGACUUGGAUGUUGAGCCCUGCUGGUAUGCUAUAUCAGCUGACUUUAAACUUAUUAGCCGGCUCUGUACUGGAUCGGUUUGACUCGACGUGAUAAUAUUAUCGUUGAGGAUGCAUGUCUCAUGCAGCCGGAAAGUAUCAAAGCAGCUUCUAGCUUGCCUUUAGUGCACUUUUACAUUUUAGACCUCAGAUCAGGUGGGACUACCCGCUGAACUUAAGCAUAUCAAUAAGCGGAGGA
rnacentral:misc_RNA from 1 species